GUUCUUCAAAGAGAGAAAAUAAUCCUUGAGGAAAAGCUGAAAAGAGCUUUACAGGAAGCUGAAAAUGCUAAUAAGCAACUUACAAACUUAGCAACAUCUGUCCCUGUUCAAGACACAGAAAUUGUUCAAGAUGCACCCACCAGUUACAAAAAUGCAGAAAAGGAUAAAAAUAAUGAUUCUGACAUUGAUAUGAAAAAAUAUGCUAAAGAUGCAUCUAAGAAGGGCCAAAAAUCAACUAAAACUGAAGGCAGCAGGGAAGAUCAUAUAGUGUCACCAUCCAAGUCCAUUAGUGAAGCUGAUGAAUUAGUACACAAAUUGCUAGCAAAGAACCAAGUGAAACAAGGAAUAAGGAAAAGUCCCGGAGAAAUGGAGGAAACUGAAGAAAUUGCAACACUGUCUCAAAAGAAGGAUGUUAAACUAGGAAAAAAAGGAUUAACAGAGGGAAAGAAGUCUGAAGAUCAUGGUGUUUCAGCAAGCAAGCUAAAAGAAAAAUACCUUUUUCAGGAGCAAGGAGAGUCAUAUAAACCUAAAGAAUUACUUUCUAGCAUGGAAGAGACUCCAAGACUUCCUGCUUAUCCAUCUGGACAGGAAAACAUGCAGUAUUCUUCUAAACAUGCUGAUGAGAAGCCAACAUCACUGUUAUCUGAUAAAACCCAGCAAAUGUCAACAGCAACCAGAGCAAACAGAAAAUCAGAGUCUCCUUUGAAAUUUGACCCCAAAGGACUGGUUACAGCUAAGAAAACGACAGAAGCAAAUGAAGGAGUUUCCCUGGAUAACAGCACAGGGGAGGAUGCAUGUGGCACCACCGAUUCAGAUUUUGUGAACCUUCCAGAAAUCCGAGGAGAGUCAGAGUCACAUUUCUCCUUAAACUGUCAAGAACAAUUAUGGCCCAAACCUUUAAAUGUACACGAAGAUUCACCCCAACUAAUCUCAGAAAGACAGAAGACUGCUAUGUCUGCUAAACCCAGUAUCCGAGGACAAGAUUGUUCUUUACCAUUGUAUGAAAACGAUAUGUUACCAUCAGUUUUACCUUCCAAAUAUCAAGAUGUGGCUCCUCUUAAAAGCUCCCUGACCAAUCAUAAAACAUCUUCUGAAUCUCAGAGUGCUGAAGAAGUUUCUCUUUUCUCUAUUGAAAAGAUACCCACUUCGGAGAUCCAGCAAAAAAUGCCUGCCGUUAUUACUCAAGAAGAUAAAAAGGCGCCUAUGCCAGUUCUUCCUGUCACACACACGACAAACGUAACUUUGGAAACUCACUCACCUGAGGGAGAAAAUCUUCCAUGGACUCAAAAAGAAGAAGUAGAUGUUAAAGAAAGACUUCCAUUAAUAACUCAAAUGAAUAAAAUGCAACAAGCAUCAACACUUUCACUGGCAGAAGCUGGUGUGAACACUGGGAAGAAAACAAUUGAGCUUUUGCACAGUAUGCUUGCUAAGCUGUCACCAGGUGUAGAAGAUCUGCAAGACAUAGAAGCUUUUGAAGACAGUGAAAUAGACAGCAUUACUGAGGAUAGAUUAAAUAAGCUACCAAAACUUCUUGGAAGCUUGGAGUCAAAUCUGAAAGACCUGCAGGAAGCACUGGCUCUGACAGAUGACCAAACAAGCAAUGUAAGUGAGGACAGACUGAAGGAAUUAAUCAACCAAAAAAAUAUUUUGCUGUCAAGUCUGGAAAAAAAUUCACAAGAUUUGCAACAAGCACAGGCUAUUGUAGUAGACCAAGACGACAAAUACAGAUUUUAUGAGAAAAAAAUGCAGGACCUAACAGAAAAAAGAAAGCUUUUGCUUACCAGCCUGGAAUCGAAUUGGAGAGAUUUGCAACAGACUCAGGCUCUGGAUGCCAGCCAACUUCAUGACAUGAAUGAUAAUUGCUUUGGCAGCAAUUCUGAUUUUUUUGAAAGAAAAUCAGAGGUGACUGGAAAACAGCCUCUAAAUAGUAGAACUUUGCAGCUAGAAUGUAUUCUUUCAGCACUUCCACUUGAUCAAGACAGAAGCUUUGCACCUGCAGAGCCAACUUACAACAGCGAAACCACAUCACCUAUUCAUCAAUUGAUGCCAAGCAGAGUUGUAUCCAGUAUACAUUUUGACUUUUCUACACUUCCAGCCUUAGUACCAGGAGACUUUGAUGCCUCAACUCCUUAUCAGACAGAAUGGGGAGCACUGUUUAUUUCUGGGAAGAGUUACCCUUUGCUGAGCUCAAAGAGUCAAGAAGCAAAAAGGAGGUGAAACAUCUCUGAUGAUAAAAUUCUCUCAUAUUCCUCUUAUUAGAAUAGUUGUGAUGGUAAACUUACAGCAUUAAUAAAAAUACCACUCUGUCACUCUCUUAUAGCCUG
ensembl:lncRNA